rnacentral:piRNA from 1 species
UGGUUUUAGACUUUACUCUGGGUGUGGAAU